GGUACCGACGGUGCGGCGGCGGUGGUAAUUGGUGGGGUGGUCGGGUUGGUCUGAAUUAUUGGGCUUAUAGAGCUUUUAGGCGGGUUGUCGCGUCUGCAGUGAAAAUCCGGGGCUCAACCCCGGACGUGCUGUGGGGACGGGCAGACUAGAGUAUGGUAGGGGAGACCGGAAUUCCUGGUGUAGCGGUGGAAUGCGCAGAUAUCAGGAGGAACACCGAGGGCGAAGGCAGCGGUCUGGGGCCACACUGACGCUGAGGCACGAAAGCGUGGGGAGCAAACAGGAUUAGAUACCCCGGUAGUC
rnacentral:rRNA from 1 species